ACGCAGCGGCCGUCGCCGGUUCGGUAUCGCAACGCGACUUUUAAUGAUUCUCAAACACGACGUUGCCGGUGCGUGUUGGAUUCUUCACGUCCUCCAGGUUAGAGUUCGUUAUUGUUAGACUAAAAAAAGGAGUACCAAAAAGUUUUCGGAACAUUUUUCAAAAUUAUUAAAAAAGUUUUUGUGCCAUGUUUUCAAAAUAUCUAUGAUAAAUGAGAUUUAGUGCUAAAAAAGUUAAAGUGGGUUAAGUUUUUUUUGCAAAAUUUUUGGGAUAACUCGAUGGGAAUACGAUUUCGUCUCUCUUAGAACCUUCGUCAUGAGCUGAAAGAUGUCCAACACUUUCCCCAUCUGUUGCUUCAUCUUGGUAACGUUGAUCAGAUCCACGCUUGAGGAUUUAACGCCUCCAGACAAUGACUUCCGGUUCACUAGCCCACUCUACAAUGUCAGCAUUCCGGAAAACAGUGUCCCCAAGACCUACGCUUCGCCGGCUCCUGGUGAAGCCAGGAUCGGCAUCAAAAUGCCGAAGGACGUAUACAGAAACGUGCGGUAUAAGAUAGUGGGUGGUGAUUCAGAUAAAUUUUUUAAAGCAGACCAUAAAAUAGUUGGUGACUUUUCUUUCUUGUAUAUUCGGACUCGAAGUGGUAACAGCCACGUAUUGAAUCGCGAACGUAAAGAUAAAUACAUCCUGGAGGUGCGUGCGACAGCUGUUAAAGGACACAAUACUUACGUGCAAACCGACACUUUAGUGGUAGUUACAAUUCUUGAUACGAACGAUCUCAACCCUUUGUUUUAUCCGACUGAAUACAAUGUAACGGUGUUUGAGGACACACCCAUUCAUCAAAGCAUCUUAAAAGUAGUAGCAGAAGACGCCGAUUUAGGAAGAAACGGAGAAAUUUAUUACAGUUUCUUAGAAGAUACGGACCAAUUCGCGAUCCACCCAAUAACGGGUGUUAUUUCGUUGAGCAGACCAUUGAGGUAUAAUGAGGGACUUUUUCAUGAUUUAACCGUUCAAGCGCAAGAUCGCGGAGCUAUUCAUCGAACCAGCGCACUUUCUAGAGCCAAAGUCAAGGUUACAGUAAAACAAGUAAACUUUUUAAAACCGGAAAUUCGCGUGAGACGACAUCCACAGAUUGUAGAAAAUUCCAACGCCGAUAUUUACGCCAUCGUUAACGUAGUUGAUAAGGAUACAGGUAUUCACGGACAAAUAAAAAGUUUGGAAAUAGUAGAUGGGGAUCCGGAUGGCCAUUUCAGAAUUAGACCAACAUUCCAAAAAGGGGAGUACAAUAUCGAGGUAUUAAAACUUUUGGAUAGGGAGAAAACCCCUCAGGGUUAUAAUUUACAAUUAAGAGCUGUUGACAGAGGAAUCCCACCUAAAGAAAGUUAUAAAUCUGUCCCCGUACAAUUAUCAGAUUUAAACGAUAACGCGCCUGUAUUUAACAAAGAAAUUUAUGAGGUGAAAGUACCAGAAACAGCACCCGUAAACACCCCUUUGAUAAGACUGAAGGUUUCCGACGCCGACGAAGGUAAAAAUGCUCAAGUUUUCUUGGAGAUAGUUGGUGGAAAUGAAGGAGGAGAGUUCCAUAUUAACGCCGAAACGGGAAUGUUAUAUACAGCCGUUCCAUUAGACGCCGAAACAAAAUCGCUUUAUAGUUUAACAGUUUCUGCCAUCGAUCAAGGAAAUGUCGCAACCAGAAAGCAAUCUUCCGCUAAAAUUAAGAUAUACGUCGAAGACACUAACGACAACGACCCUAUUUUCGAUAAAUCAGAAUUAACCGUGUGGAUUGACGAAAAUAUGCCACCCGGAAGCUCAGUUACGACCGUAAGAGCUAAAGAUAAAGACCGUGGGGAAAACGCUUAUAUCUCCUACUUAAUUGCAAACUUGGUAAAAGUUCCUUUCGAAGUAGAUCAUUUUUCAGGAGUUGUAAAAACAACUCAACUCUUAGAUUACGAAAGUAUGAGACGAGAGUAUGUGUUAAGAGUGCGAGCUUCCGAUUGGGGACUACCUUAUAGAAGACAAACAGAAAUGCAACUCACCGUAAAAGUUAAAGACAUCAACGAUAAUCGUCCUCAAUUUGAAAAAAUCGAUUGUACCGGCCACGUGCCGAGAUACGCGCCAAUCGGUUCAGAAAUUAUCACUUUAUCCGCGAUAGAUUUCGAUUCGGGCAACAUCAUAAGUUAUAGAAUAGUUUCGGGAAAUGAAGACAACUGUUUUACUAUGGAUCAAACUUCAGGAACGAUUUCCGUUUCUUGCGAUCUCGGCGAUAUUCGAGUUCAAGAAAGAGAAUUAAAUGUCACGGCAACUGACGGACAACACUUCGCUGACAUCGCAAGAGUUCAUUUUAAAUUGGUUAAUACAAAGCGAAGUUUAGCAACUGGGAAUUACGACGAAGCCGGGGUUUUUGAAUGUAGAGAUACGGGAGUUGCGAGACGUUUAACCGAAAUAUUAUCAGCAGCUGAAAACAAUAAUAAACCACCAGAUCAAGAAGAAUUUGCGAUGAUGCCUACACGUUAUGGACAGAACGUACACUCUCCGGAAUUCGUUGAUUUCCCCAUCGAAAUUAAAGUGAACGAGUCUGUUGCUUUAGGGACAACAUUAAUAAAGUUAAAAGCUAGGGAUAGGGAUUUGGGGUACAACGGAAAGCUAAUUUAUGGAAUUAGUGCCGGGGAUGAGCACUCGGUGUUUUGUUUAGACAUGGAUGCAGGUGAACUUAAAGUGAUAGGUUAUUUGGAUCGGGAAAGGGAAUCUGAAUAUCUUUUAAACGUAAGCGUUUAUGAUUUGGGAAAACCGCAAAAAUCUGCUUCGAGAAUGUUACCGAUUACAGUAUUAGAUAUCAACGAUAACGCCCCUAAAUUUGAAAAAUCAAUCGCUAGUUUUAGAGUUACCGAAAAUGCACUGAAUGGAACCACUAUUUUUAAAGCAAACGCAACUGAUGCAGACUCCGGAGACAACGCUAAAAUAACUUACUCAUUAGUUACUGACACCAAGGAUUUUGCAGUUGAUAAAAUAACAGGGGCUUUAACUGUUUCGAACAAUUUGGAUAGAGAAAGACAGGAAGUGUAUGAAUUACGUAUUAGAGCUACAGAUGGUGGUGGAAGAGGAUCUGAUUAUCCUCCAUUGUAUUCCGAGGCUCUUAUAAGAAUAACAAUAGACGACAUCAACGAUAAUCCACCAAAAUUCUCUCUUCCUGCUUAUUCUGUUAAAAUUCGCGAAGAUAUCCCGAAAGGAAGUGUUGUAGCCAUCGUUUCAGCAUCCGAUCCAGAUUUGGGCCUUGAAGGGGAAAUAACCUAUUCGCUUGAAGACACCGAUAGCGAUGGUACAUUCAAAAUCGACCGAUUGUCCGGAACCAUUAGAACGACGAAACUGUUGGACUUCGAGGAAAGACAGAUGCACAGCUUGAUGGUCAUUGCCAAAGAUAGAGGCAAUCCGUCUUUAUCUUCGGAAGUGGGUGUUACCGUGGACGUCGUCGACGUGAACGAGAACAUGUACGCUCCGCAGUUCAGUGAUUUUGUGCUAGAGGGUGCCGUGAUGGAGAAUAGACCGCCUGGGACCGUCGUCAUGACUGUUAACGCGACGGAUAACGACCCCCCUGGUGAAGAUAGUAGAGUUGAAUAUUCGAUUCGGGGAGGUGAUGGUUUAGGAAUAUUCGUUAUUGAUAACAAUGGUACCAUAAAGACGGCUACUGUGUUGGAUGUUGAAACGAAAUCUCAUUAUUGGAUAACAGUUUUUGCUCAAGAUCACGGUGUGGUUCCUUUGUUUAGCAGCGUUGAGAUUUAUAUUGCUGUGGAAAACGAAAACGACAACAUUCCAUUGAGCAAGGAAGCGGUGUAUUAUGCGACCGUUCCCGAGGAAAGUCCUCCGGGACGUCCUGUUAUCCAAGUUGAGGCUACCGAUAACGACGUCAAUGAUACCGAAAUCGAAUACAAGAUCAUUACUGGAAAUGUUGGAGGAUUCUUUCAAAUUAACACAUCAACAGGUUUAAUAUCUACGACACCACGUCGACUUGAUAGAGAGAGUCAAAACGAAUACAUCCUCGAGGUCCAGAUAUCGGAUAAAGGGAGUCCUCCGUUAUCGUCGACUACGAGAGUUGUGGUUACCGUGGAGGACACUAACGAUAACUCGCCAGAAUUCGACGACAACUUCUACAAGGUGCAGAUUCCCGCCAGCGCGGAUUUCAACCAGGCCAUAUUUCAGAAUGAUGCUCCAGUAACCGACGAUUUCGACGGUGCUGAUGCAGCAGAAGAUGAAUAUUGGGAAACGUCAAGUUCCGGUGACGUUGUAGGCCUCGACUUCGUCUUCAGGGCCUUGGCUUUCGACAAGGAUGAAGGACGAAACGCUGAAAUUUCUUAUAGUAUCAAAUCUGGUAAAGGGAGGAAUAAAUUUAAGAUUGAUAAUUCAACUGGGAUUGUUUACGCGCAUAAAGGAUUUGAAGUUGGGCAAGAAUAUGAUAUUAAUAUUAAAGCCACCGAUAAUGGUGAAACUCCGAAGAGUGUCGUUUGUAGACUUUCUGUGUCUGUUAUUGCAACUCCUCCGAGUACUUCCGCUCCGCCUUCAAUUAUUCAACCCGUUAAGAUGGAAAUAACUGAAAAUGAUAUUCCGGGAUUUUUGGUUACUUUGUUGCAAGCUACGGAUCCGGAUGGGGAUUCUUUAUGGUAUGAUAUCAUCGAUGGUGAUGAAAGAAAUGAAUUUUACGUUGGUCGUCAAAGCGGAAACAUUUUAUUAGCAAAACAACUCGAUUACGAAACCCAAAAGGAAUAUAUCUUAAAUAUAAGUGUAACAGACGCGGUAAAUACGGUUUAUACUCAAUUAAAUGUCACGGUUUUGGAUCAAAACGACCAUAGACCGGAAUUUACAGAACCCGUUUAUAAAGUUGAAAUAUCCGAAUCGGUUCCGGUCGAAACGGAAAUCUUGCAACUUGAAGCCACCGACGCAGAUAACGAAGGAAAACUAGUUUUCAGCUUACACGCUGCACGAAACAUGAUCUCUUUACAAACUUUUAAAAUUGAUUCCAUUACCGGAUCGGUUACUUUAUCGAGAGCUUUAGAUAGGGAGAGUUUAUCAGAACACCUUUUAACUGUUAUGGUCAGAGAUAGUGGUACACCAUCGAAACGAAAUUACGCGAGGGUGCUAAUCAUAGUUCAUGACCAAAAUGAUUAUACCCCACAAUUUUCUGAAAAGAUUUUAGAAGGAAAAGUGUUUGAAUCGGCUUCCGUUGGAAGCGCGGUUCUUAGAGCGUACGCUGUUGAUCAUGAUAAAGGCGAAAACGCAAGAGUGACUUAUUCAAUAUCAUCGGGAAAUGUUGGAAAUGUUUUUAGUAUCGACCCGGAUAUGGGGAUAAUCCAAGUUGCGCGAGAAUUAGAUAUUUCAGUUGCAACUGAAUACACCUUAUACAUUCGAGCAACCGAUCAUGGUCAACCUUCCUUAUCAACGACAAUUCCCGCUCACAUCAUGUUAACAAUGUCCGAUAACGCCCCACCGAAAUUCGUCGAUAAGGAAGUUGCAGCCGAAAUUUACGAAGACCAACCACUAGGAAGUUUUGUCGCCUUAAUGAAAGUCAGAAGCACAUCAUCCCUUCAAUUUGAAAUUAUAACCGGAAACGUUGACGACGCGUUCAUGAUUAGUCCAAGUACCGGGGUUAUUAUCACCCAAAAAAUGUUAGAUUACGAAAGUGUUAAGUUUUAUAACCUAACGAUUAAGGCGAUUAAUAUGGCGAGUGCGAGCGCGACGGGAAAUGCAAUUAUUCAUAUUUUAGAUCGAAACGAUAACGUUCCUCAAUUCGAACAAGAAACUUAUUCAGGAAGCAUAUCAGAAUCGGCACCCGUUCAUUCAUUAAUCCUCACAAAUACAAGUGAUCCCUUAGUGAUAAAAGCAAACGACGCAGAUUCCGAAAUUAACGGAUUACUUCAUUUCGAUAUCGUCGAAAUUUUACCAAGAAGAUAUUUCCAAAUCGAUUCAAACACCGGAGCUAUAAGAACAAUUAGAUUAUUAGACCACGAAACUUUCGACCGAUUCACUUUUCACGUGACAGUUUCAGAUUUGGGUAACCCAAAAUUAUCAUCGGAAACCACCGCAAGAGUUGACAUAAUCGUAACGGACGUAAAUGAUUGUCCCCCUAUUUUCGAUCACAGCAUUUACAACGUAACUUUACUUCUUCCAACUUAUAAAAACGUUGCAGUUAUUAAACUUAACGCCACCGAUAAAGACACUGAUGGCUCGUUAAAAUACGAUAUAAUCGACGGCAACAAACAUAAAACUUUCGAUAUUAACUCGGCGACGGGACUUGUAACCGUUUUAGACCCGGAAAAUAUGAAGCAAUCUUAUAAACUUCAAGUUAGAGUAUCCGAUGGAAAAUUUUCGAGCGUUUCCAAAGUUUAUGUCCGAGUCGAACAAUCGGAAAAUUCCGGUUUAACAUUCCAAAAACAAAUCUACGAAGGAUCGAUAUUCGAGAAUUCAACAAAAAUUAAUAACGUUUGCGUCGUUAACGUUUUGGGUAGCGCCUUAAACGAACAUUUAGAAUUCCGCAUUUUAAAUCCGACGAAUAUGUUCAAAAUCGGAUUAACAUCCGGGGUUAUUAGCACGACGGGAAUUCGUUUCGAUCGAGAAAAUAAAGACAAUUACGAAUUAAUCGUCGAAGCCCGAAGCCAUAUGCCAGAAAGAGAAAAACCAAGAGUCGCUCACGUUAUCGUUAACGUAACCGUUUUAGAUGUUAACGAUAAUUGUCCAAUGUUUGUUAAUUUACCUUAUUAUGCGGUCGUUUCCGUCGACGAUGAAAAAGGAAGUGUUAUUGCUAAAGUACACGCUAUCGAUAUGGAUAGCAAUGAAAAUGGAGAGGUGAGAUAUGAACUUAUUCGAGGACACGGAGAAUUAUUUAAAGUGCAAAGGGAAACUGGUGCUAUUGAAAUAAAACAGAGUUUAGAAGGGCAUAAUCGAGAAUAUGAAUUAGAAAUUGCUGCAUAUGAUAAAGGUAUAAAUCCAUGCAGAACCGACGUAAAAGUGUACGUAAAGGUGAUCGAUCGUUCGAUGCCCGUUUUCAAAAAACAAUUUUAUUCGGAAAUCGUUCCGGAAAACGUCGAACUUCACUCUCCGUUAGGGCUUUCCGUGCAGGCAGAGUCACCUUUAGGUCGGAAACUGAUUUACAGUAUUGUGAAAGGAAACGAAAUGGAAGAGUUCGCGCUCGAUUUUAAUACGGGAGACGAUUUUGCAAAACCUAAUCUGAACCGCACGCUAAAAGAAUUUCUUAGGGCAUUUUUCAAUUGUGGCGGUACAAAUUCCUCUUCAGGUGUUAUUUCUGUUGUCGACGAAUUAGACUACGAGCAACAACAACAAUACGAGCUCGUUGUAAGAGCAACGGAUUCAGUUUCAGGAGUUUACGCGGAAGUUCCCGUAUCGAUAGUUUUGCAAGAUGUAAAUGAUUGCCCCCCGGAAUUCCAAGAGGAAAGUUAUAACAUAUCAAUAUCAGAAGCGGCUCCUUUCGGAACUUCGGUUCUUGUAGUUACAGCGAAAGAUAACGACACCGGGAUGAAUCAAAAAAUUAUUUAUUCGAUUAAGCAAGAAGAAGGAAAUAAUGCAACACUUUAUUUCCACAUUGAUGAACAUGAUGGAACGAUUUAUUUGAAACAAAGUUUGGAUCAUGAAAAAUCUUCAUCUCAUCAUUUCGUAGUUGUUGCUGCGGAUCAAGGAAAUCCGAGUUUGUCGAGUACAGCUCAUGUUUGGUUGACGGUUUUGGACAUGAAUGAUAAUCCACCCAAGUUUGAACAACCCUCGUAUUAUUGCGGGCUAUCGGUUUACGCGAAACGAGAUCAAUUUGUUACGAUUGUUUCUGGGAGUGAUCCAGAUUUAGUUGAUCAAACGAGAUUGAAAUAUUCGAUGGUUGCGGGAAAUGAGCAACAAACUUUCUCAAUCGACUCGAAUACGGGGAUCAUUUCUUUAACGAAUUUAGCAAAUUUUGGAGAUCAAAAAAGUUUGCUUUUAAAUGUUUCGGUUUCUGAUGGAGUUUACACCAAUUUCGCUCGAUUAAAAGUUGAGUUAUUACCCGCGAAUUUGCACCCCCCAAUUUUCCCCGAUGUAAUCAUGGACGUUGAGGUGUCAGAAAAUAAAGAACCCGGUGAAUUAGUUGCUAUUGUGAAAGCUAGUGAUAAAGAUUUUGGGAAAUACGCCACUUUAACUUACUCAAUACAAUCUGAUUUGUUAUUAGAGGUGUUUUCGAUCGAUAAAAAUUCGGGGAAAAUUGUAACUCGAACUAAAUUAGAUCGGGAAAAACGGAAAUUAUACGAAAUCCCCGUUAUGGCUACAGAUGGUGGGGAUCGUUCUGGAUAUUUAACAGUUCGCGUUAAAGUUUCCGAUAAAAAUGAUAACGCCCCUAAAUUUAAUUUACGCGAAUACAAAGGAUGCAUUUUCUCAAAUUACACCCAAGGACAAUUUUUCUUAAAAAUACACGCCACAGAUCCCGAUGAAGGAAUCUCCGCUCAACUUCAUUACGAUAUUUACAAAGAACCAUCAUCGGACGCCAAUGAACUAUUUGAUAUCGACUCAAAAACCGGACGAAUUUAUCUAAUUAAAGAUGCAACUUCCUACGAAGGACAACUUUUUCAAUUUUUCGUACGAGCAACCGACGGAGGCCCAACACCAAAACAUUCCGACGUUCCCGUAAGCGUCAUGAUAAUGGGACCAAACGAACAUCCCCCAAUUUUUGAACGAAAAGACGACAAAUUUUUCUUAUCGGAAAACUCACCAACAGGAACGAUCAUCACCAGUUUAAAAAUGAUCUCGAAUGUUACCGUCAGUUAUAAAAUUUUAUCCGGAUCGGAAGAUAGCCCAACUUUCGCCGUUGAUUCCCAAGGUCAUCUUAGCUUAGCAAGACCUUUAAAUUUCGAAUCGCAAGUUUCUCACGUCAUCGGCAUUUUAGCGGAAACCGAUUCAAGUCCACCACUUACAGCUUUAGUAGAAAUUACACUUCAAGUUUUAGAUGAAAACGAUAACGCCCCGCAUUUUGAAAGUAGUCCUUAUGUGAUUAAUUUAGCUGAAAAUACUGAAGAGGGGACAUCAAUUUUGAAAGUAACUGCUCACGAUGAAGAUCAAGGAAGUAAUGGUGAAAUAAGAUAUACUUUUGGUUCCGAUGCUGGUGACGCAAUAAAUGUAUUUUCGGUGGAUGCAUUUACAGGUUGGAUAACGACCUUAGUUCCGUUAGAUAAAGAAACGAAACCGGAAUAUAAAUUUUCGAUUAUGGCAACGGAUAAUAAACACACCGCUCGAACGACGGUUAUUAUAAAAUUGAAAGAUUACAAUGAUAGCCCGACUUUAUUCAAAAGAAAAAAUUACGAAGGUGCCGUCCAAGAAGACGCUUUACCAGGGACGGUUAUUUUAAAAUUAGAAACAACGGAUGCCGACAUUGACUUAGUAACCCCAAUUGAUUUUUAUAUCAUUUCCGGUGAUCCAAGUUCUCAUUUUAAAAUAAGACAAACUGGGGAGUUGUACGUUGUGAAACAAUUAGAUCGAGAAACCGUUCCUAGUUAUGAAUUAGAAAUUGUUGUUACGGAUGGUUUAUUUACGGAUAAAACGAAAAUUUUCAUCAACAUUUUAGACGCUAACGAUAACCCGCCUUAUUGCUUAAAAUACCGAUAUCGCCAAGUUCUUUCUGAAGGUAUCCAUCCGGGUUCGUUCGUUCUAAGCGUUUUGGCAACAGAUGCUGAUGAUCAAGAAAAUUCAAAAUUAAGAUACAUCUUAACUGGGGAUGGAUACGAAAAUUUCUCUUUGGAUAAAGAUUCUGGUCAUUUAAAAACCAUAACCCAUUUAGACCGGGAAAAAAUGUCUAAAUACAAUUUAAUUGCUCACGUUCAAGAUAAAGAACACACCAAUUGGGAGUGUUCCUCCCAAAUCGAGUUAAUCGUUUCUGAUUUAAAUGAUAACGCUCCAUUAUUUUCACUCCCCUAUUACUCUGUUGCAUUACCUGAAGAUGUUGAAGUUGGAACUUUAGUUACUAAAGUACACGCAACCGAUGCGGAUAUUGGAAUGAAUCGGAAAAUUAAGUAUUCCUUCAUCGAUUCAUUUAAUAAUCACUUUAAAAUGGCUUCCGAUAGUGGCAUUGUCACUUUAGCUAAACCUUUAGAUAGAGAAAUACGCGCAAUGUAUAAUUUAACAAUUCAAGCUGUUGAUCAAGGAACUCCCCAACUUUCCAGCGUUGCUUCGUUGAUUGUUAACGUGCAAGAUAUUAAUGAUAACCCUCCAGAAUUUGCUUCAAAAUAUUACUUUGCAACCGUUCCGGAAAUAAAUGCGGUUGGAACAGAAAUUGUAAGAGUGUUAGCAACCUCAAAAGAUACCGGGGUGAACGCAGAAGUUUAUUAUUCCAUCAUGGGUGGAAAUGAACACAGAAAGUUUUCAAUUCAUAACAAAACCGGAGUUAUAACACUUAUAGAAAUGUUAGAUUACGAAAGAGCGAAAGAUUACUUUUUAACCAUUCAAGCAAUCGACGGUGGAAUCCCACCUUUAAGUAACGUAGCCACCGUUAAUAUAACAGUAACAGAUUGUAAUGAUAACGCACCCGUUUUCGCACAAGUAUCUUAUAACGAAAAAAUUAUUGAAAACGCCACAAUUGGAGAUAAAGUCCUGCAAGUUACAGCAACCGACUUAGAUAGUGGCGAUAACGGAAGGGUUAGCUAUUCGAUUAUAAGAGGAGACCAAGAAGGAAAAUUCGCUAUCGAUGAAAACACUGGAUUGGUCACCGUUGCAAAUAAAUUGGAUAGAGAAAUCGUUUCUGGUUAUGUUUUAGAAGUGUUAGCGAAAGAUAAUGGACUCCCUGUUUUAUCAAGACAAGUUUUAGUUAAUAUUGACGUUGCCGAUGCGAAUGAUAAUCCACCCAUGUUUUCGCAAAGCAAUUAUACAGCAGUUGUGCAGGAGGACAAACCAAUCGGAUAUCCAAUUCUUAAAUUUACAAUAACCGACGCAGAUUCCCCCCCAAACACAUCUCCGUACACUUUCGAUUUCCGCUCUGGGAACGAAGGAAAUAUUUUCCGUCUCGAACAAGAUGGAGUUUUACGAACAGCCAGCAAGUUUAAUCAUAAAAUAAAAAAUUCUUAUCUCCUCCAAAUACGAGUUUUUGAUAACGGAACUCCCCCUCUCUAUUCAGACACGUUCGUGGUUGUUCGAGUUAUUGAAGAAUCUCAAUAUCCACCUGCCAUAACCCCAUUAGAAAUCAAUAUUAAUUCGUUUUUGGAUGAUUACCCCGGCGGAAUAAUCGGAAAAGUUUUCGCAACCGAUCAAGAUCAAUAUGAUACCUUAACAUUUUCUUUAUCCCCAACAACUGGGUUAUUAUAUCCAACGAUGGAACAAUUUAAAAUAGAUCGUGUUGACGGAACUUUAACAGCUUUACCACAUUUAGACGUUGGAGAUUACCGCGUAAACGUAUCAGUUACCGAUGGAAAAUAUUAUUCCCACGCAAUCGUAAGAGUUUACGUUGAAACAAUUAGCGAAGAAAUGCUUGAAGGGGCUGUUGUUAUUCGAUUUAGAGAGGUCAGCCCGGAAGCUUUCAUUUUAAGCCAUCGAAAAGGUUUCGUUCGGGCUGUUCGAAACGCUAUGAAUUGUCGAUUAAAAGAUGUAAUCGUAAUUAGCGUUCAACCAUCGGACGAUUUCGAACAUUUACGAGCUAAACGAGAAAUUAAUAAAGAUUUAGAUGUCUUGUUUACAGUUAAAAAAUCGGAUGUUGACACGUUUUAUUCGGCCGAAGAAGUUCGAAAAGCAAUCAAUGAUAACUUGGAAGAUUUAGAAUCGAGUACAAAAUUGGUUGUUGAAGAAAUCGUUCGAAUUAAAUGCACCCCAACUUAUUGUCAAUACGGAAAAUGUGAGGAUAAAUACGUUGUUGAACCAACCAAUGUUAAACCUAUCUCAACAGACGUUACCAGUUUUGUUUCUCCAAAACAUAGUCAUCGAAUGGAAUGUUUAUGCCAUGAAGGUUACGGUGGAGAUCGUUGCGAUGUUAUUAUUAAUGAAUGCGCAAGAUCCGGUUGUCCAACAUACAAAAUUUGCAUCCCCGAUUCUUCCAGCAAAGGAUUUUCUUGCCAAUGUCCCGAAGGGUUCGCCGGGUCAUCGUGCGAUAUCGACAUUUCAAAAUGUCACGAUGAAUCAUGUUACAUUGCAAGAAAUCCGAUGUCAUUUAAAGGAAAAUCUUAUUCCCAAUAUAGAAUCAUCAACAAGAAAGCCAUUGAAGAUCAAUUAAGUUUAAGUUUACGAAUAAGAACGAUGCAACCAUCAGGAAAUUUAAUGUACGCUUCCGGAAAAGUGGAUUAUAACAUUUUAGAAGUUGUAAAUGGAGUGAUUCAGUACAGAUUUGAGUUGGGAAGUGGUGAAGGUGUUGUUAGAGUUUCAACCGCUUAUGUUUCUGAUGGAAAAUGGCAUGAAAUCCGCUUGGAGAGAGACCAUAAUAACGCAAGAUUAAUCGUUGAUGGGGUUCAUUCUGCUCAAGGGUCAGCACCCGGAAUAAGUGAUAUAUUAAAUUUACAAAGUGAUGAGAUGUAUUUAGGAGCCGAAGUCCAUCGACAUCCAUCCAUUUUAGGAUUAGAAGAUAUCCAACGCGGAUUUACAGGUUGUAUGGAUGAUGUUAGAAUCGCAAGAAUCUCAGUUCCUUUACACAAAUCAGGAGAUAACUCAAUAGCUGUGCUUAAAAGAUUCGCAAAUGUUGAAUUUAGUUGCGAUUCGAACGUUCUUCUCCCAGCUGGAGCUUGCGGUUCUCAACCUUGCAUGAAUGGGGGAACUUGCAAAGAAACCCAAACUGGAUUUGAAUGCUCGUGUCAUGCGCGGUUCAAAGGAAUUCUUUGCGAAUACGACACCGAUCCUUGUUCUUCAUCACCAUGUCUUUACGGUGGAAAAUGUAUUGCGUCAAACGGUGAUUACACGUGUGAGUGUGGUUUUAGAUUAACCGGAAAAAGAUGCGAAUACGGAAAAUAUUGUUCCCCAAAUCCUUGCCAACACGGUGGAGUUUGCGAAGAAGGCGAUGAAGGAGCUUUAUGUAAAUGUAGAUCUUUCACCGGAGAAUACUGCCAAUUCGAUCUCAACGAAUGCGAAUCCCUCCCGUGUCAAAACGGGGGAACUUGUAUCAACGAAAUCGGAUCAUUUCGAUGUCUUUGCCCUGGUAACACAACCGGACAUUUUUGUGGAACCCCAGAAACGUUGGCAAUUUUAACACUUGGUCCCAUCACAUUGGGUUAUUUCGAAUUAAUCGUAAUCGCAUCAACGCUUUUUCUCACCUUGGUUAUCACAAUAACACUUUGCUUGUACUGCAAAUCAAAAAUGAAGAAACGUAAUCACGCUCAUCAAGGACAAAAUGUGAUCAUCAACGAAACCCGAAAAGAUCCAAUAGUGUAUAAUUCAAAUCGUCCCCAUGAAAUGGUCGAGUUAAAACGUGGAAAAUUGAGUAAUUUGGAAGGAAAUCGUCAACCGAGGCCGCAAUCUUACGCAGCUACCCCGCAAAAUGAAAAUUUCAACUACAACUUUGGGCCGAUACUCAACAAUUUCGAGUCGAUUCGCAGUUAUGGAUCAGCCGGUGAUGAGUUGGAGAAUCCUCCUUUGAAUAACUACGUGAGGAAUUUGAACUUGAAUAAUCAACAAUCCGGCAUCAGUAACUGCGACUCUGAUAAAACCGCGUGGGCCGAACAAAUGCAUUUGGCCCAAAGUUACGCUGAAAAACCCAAAGUUAAAAAUGAUUACAAUAUAUCCAGCCAAGUAAACUGUGAUCCUCCUAAUAGACUGUACGGUGGACGAAGUAACGCUACUAAAUCUUUAGGAUCGCCAUCUUUAAAUUCAACAGACGAUGACCAAAGAUCUGUUGGAAGUUACCAUUGGGAUUGUUCGGACUGGGCUCGAAACAGUCAAAUCCCGCUUCCUAAUAUAACAGAAGUACCGGGAAGCGAAAUUCCCGAUUCUUCCAGCUUCCAUAGCAAUGAAAGCAAUGAAUCGCGGUGCCAUCAUUUAAAUCCGCACACUUUAGGACCCAUCAAUCCCGAUAGAGAUAUUGAAACCCUUAAUGAAGACUUGGAAUCGGAAUUUAUGGCUGAUAGCGAAUGUGAAGCACACACGGCCAGUCCAAGUCUUAACGCUUUGGAUAGCGGAAACGAAGAGUAUAGAUUUACCACAGGGCCAAAAGAAACUCUUGUUUAGCAUCUCAUAUCUAGUUGUUUAAGAAAAAUUAUUUUUUUUAAAAUAAGAUUAAAAGAACUUCUGACAGCUACGUUCGGCAUCCAAACACUUAUCUACCAACUCACGGGUACAAUAUUCCCAGCGAAGCGGAAGGCGAUCCUUUGCAUAGUCCUGGAGCCGAUUCAGACGAUGUUGAACCUUACGGUUUUCCAAGCAAUCGAAAUCGACGAAAAAAUUGUGAUGAUGAUAUAGGAUCAGUUAUUACAGCUUUAGAAGAACGCGAUUCAUUAUUAGGCCCAACAUACGGUAGUAACAGUGAUAUGUCGACGAAUUUGUGUGAAAUCGAAGAUUCGGAGUGCGAAACCGAACAAAAACCAUUAAAUUACCUUGGGGUUCAACAAACGUCCGUUUGACGAAAAGAAACGAGGGAAAAUCGAAGGAUUGCAUAAAAAAAUAAAAAAGACUUUUAUUAAAAUGAUUGAAAUAAAAAUAAAAAAAUAAGAAAAGGUAAGGUGUUGAAGAAAGGAAUUGAUCCCGCGUUUUUUAUCACAUCCGAUGCAUAUCAUAACAAAGAUAUGAAUACGAGUGGAGAUUAAAUUAAAUAAUGAUCCAAAAAAAAUAUCGAACAAAAAUAAUUCUUGUAAAUAAAAUUAAAAAACAUAAUUGUAAAUAGACCCAUAAUAAAAUUAACGAUAAUGUAUUUUUUAUAAAUGUUAUCUUCUUUUCGAUAAAAAAAGAGACGAAAGGACCUAGAAACAACUUUUUCUUGGUUUUCUUUUUUUACAUUAAGUACGAAAAAGUAAUUAUAAGUACCGCGACGUUAUAAAUAAUUACAAAGAAACCAACUAUAAAUAUGUAUAUGUAAUUUUACUGAUGUUACGUGUACGAAACUGAAAAAAAACCUAAGACGAAGAAAAAAAUAUUUAAAAUGUGCCUAUAAACGCGUGCUCCCCCGCGAUGAAAAAACACAACGAGGGAGCCACUUUUAUAUUAAUUUUAAUAAAACGACUCUUCUAGAUGUUAAGUUUUAAGUGAUUGAGUUUAGUUAAAUUGAGUUUUAGAUUUUGACGGGAUCGAUUUUGUUCAAAAAUUGAACCCGUCCUUUUUAUAGUGAAUUUACGUUGUUUUGCGUUGUACAUGUGAUACGAAAAAGAAUUAAAAAAUUGUGUUUCCUCCAAUUUA
rnacentral:misc_RNA from 1 species